GGGGAAUAUUGCGCAAUGGGGGAAACCCUGACGCAGCAAUACCGCGUGAGUGAAGAAGGUUUUCGGAUCGUAAAGCUCUGUUAUUGGGGAAGAAAAAAAGACGGUACCCAAGAAGAAAGUCCCGGCUAACUACGUGCCAGCAGCCGCGGUAAUACGAAGGGGGCUAGCGUUGCUCGGAAUUACUGGGCGUAAAGGGCGCGUAGGCGGAUCGUUAAGUCAGAGGUGAAAUCCCAGGGCUCAACCCUGGAACUGCCUUUGAUACUGGCGAUCUUGAGUAGGAGAGAGGUAUGUGGAACUCCGAGUGUAGAUGUGAAAUUCGUAGAUAUUCGGAAGAACACCAGUGGCGAAGGCGACAUACUGGCUCAUUACUGACGCUGAGGCGCGAAAGCGUGGGGAGCAAACA
rnacentral:rRNA from 1 species